CAGUAGCCGCGGUAAUACGAAGGGCGCAAGCGUUAAUCGGAAUUACUGGGCGUAAAGCGUGCGUAGGCGGUUUGUUAAGUCUGCUGUGAAAUCCCCGGGCUCAACCUGGGAAUGGCAGUGGAUACUGGCAAGCUAGAGUGUGUCAGGGGAUGGUGGAAUUCCCGGUGUAGCGGUGAAAUGCGUAGAGAUCGGGAGGAACAUCAGUGGCGAAGGCGGCCAUCUGGGACAACACUGACGCUGAGGCACGAAAGCGUGGGGAGCAAACAGGAUUAGAUACCCCGGUAGUCCCUGUCUCUUAUAC
rnacentral:rRNA from 1 species